UAGGGAAUCUUCGGCAAUGGACGAAAGUCUGACCGAGCAACGCCGCGUGAGUGAAGAAGGUUUUCGGAUCGUAAAACUCUGUUGUUAGAGAAGAACAAGGACGUUAGUAACUGAACGUCCCCUGACGGUAUCUAACCAGAAAGCCACGGCUAACUACGUGCCAGCAGCCGCGGUAAUACGUAGGUGGCAAGCGUUGUCCGGAUUUAUUGGGCGUAAAGCGAGCGCAGGCGGUUUCUUAAGUCUGAUGUGAAAGCCCCCGGCUCAACCGGGGAGGGUCAUUGGAAACUGGGGGACUUGAGUGCAGAAGAGGAGAGUGGAAUUCCAUGUGUAGCGGUGAAAUGCGUAGAUAUAUGGAGGAACACCAGUGGCGAAGGCGGCUCUCUGGACUGUAACUGACGCUGAGGCUCGAAAGCGUGGGGAGCAAACAGG
rnacentral:rRNA from 1 species